UACGGAGGGUGCAAGCGUUUAUCCGGAUUCACUGGGUUUAAAGGGUGCGUAGGUGGGUUGGUAAGUCAGUGGUGAAAUCUCCGGGCUUAACUCGGAAACUGCCGUUGAUACUAUCAAUCUUGAAUGUUGUGGAGGUAAGCGGAAUAUGUCAUGUAGCGGUGAAAUGCUUAGAUAUGACAUAGAACACCGAUAGCGAAGGCAGCUUGCUACACAAUAAUUGACACUGAGGCACGAAAGCGUGGGGAUCAAACAGG
rnacentral:rRNA from 1 species